UACGGAGGGGGCAAGCGUUGUUCGGAAUUACUGGGCGUAAAGCGCACGUAGGUGGCUAGGUAAGUCAAAGGUGAAAGCCCUCGGCUCAACCGAGGAAUUGCCUUUGAAACUGCUUUGCUUGAGUCCGGGAGGGGGGAGCGGAAUUCCCAGUGGAGCGGUGAAAUGCGUAGAUACUGGGAGGAACACCGGUGGCGAAGGCGGCUCCCUGGACCGGUACUGACACUGAGGUGCGAAAGCAUGGGUAGCGAACAGG
rnacentral:rRNA from 1 species